UAACCUGCUAAAUAGCCCGUACUGCUCUGGCAGUUCGCUGGCUUCUUAGAGGGACUAUCGGCUCAAGCCGAUGGAAGUUUGAGGCAAUAACAGGUCUGUGAUGCCCUUAGAUGUCCUGGGCCGCACGCGCGUUACACUGACAGGGCCAGCGAGUACCUCCUUGACCGAAAGGUCCGGGUAAUCUUGUUAAACCCUGUCGUGCUGGGGAUAGAGCAUUGCAAUUAUUGCUCUUCAACGAGGAAUCCCUAGUAAGCGCAAGUCAUCAGCUUGCGUUGAUUACGUCCCUGCCCUUUGUACACACCGCCCGUCGCU
rnacentral:rRNA from 1 species